GACGAACGCUGGCGGCGUGCCUAAUACAUGCAAGUAGAACGCUGAAGGGGGAGCUUUCUUCUCUGGAUGAGUUGCGCACGGGUGAGUAACGCGUAGGUAACCUGCCUGGUAGCGGGGGAUAACUAUUGGAAACGCUAGCUAAUACCGCAUAAUAGCAGUUGUUGCAUGAUAACUAUUUGAAAGGUGCAAUUGCACCACUACCAGAUGGACCUGCGUUGGAUUAGCUAGUUGGUGGGGUAACCGCUCACCAAGGCGACGAUACAGAGUCGACCCGAGAGGGGGGUCGGCCACACUGGGACCGAGACACGGCCCAGACUCCUACGGGGAGGAGCCGUAGGGAAUCCUCGGGAAUGGACGGAAGUCUUACCGAACAACGCCGGGGGGGGGGAUGAGGUUUUCGGAUCGUAAAGCUCUGGUGUAAGGGGAGAAAGAGUGGUAGAGGGGAAAGUGCACGCUGUGACGGUAUCUUACCAGAAAGCGACGGCUAACUACGUG
rnacentral:rRNA from 1 species